AGAACGAACGCUGGCGGCAUGCCUAAUACAUGCAAGUCGAACGAACUCUUCGGAGUUAGUGGCGCACGGGUGCGUAACGCGUGGGAAUCUGCCCCUUGGUUCGGAGUAACAGUUGGAAACGACUGCUAAUACCGGAUGAUGACGAAAGUCCAAAGAUUUAUCGCCAAGGGAUGAGCCCGCGUAGGAUUAGCUAGUUGGUGAGGUAAAGGCUCACCAAGGCAACGAUCCUUAGCUGGUCUGAGAGGAUGAUCAGCCACACUGGGACUGAGACACGGCCCAGACUCCUACGGGAGGCAGCAGUGGGGAAUAUUGGACAAUGGGCGCAAGUCUGAUCCAGCCAUGCCGCGUGUGUGAAGAAGGCCUUCGGUUGUAAGACACUUUGUACGGGUAA
rnacentral:rRNA from 1 species